rnacentral:rRNA from 1 species
GACGAACGCUGGCGGCGUGCCUAAUACAUGCAAGUCGAACGAGAGCGACCGGUGCUUGCACUGGUCAAUUUAGCGGCGAACGGGUGAGUAACACGUGGGUAACCUGCCUAUCAGAGUGGGACAACAUCCGGAAACGGAUGCUAAUACCGCAUAGUUCUUCGAACCGCAUGGUUUGAAGAUGAAAAGAGGCGUAAGCUUCUGCUGUAGGUUGAACCCGCGGUGCAUUAGCUAGUUGUUGAGGUAACGGCUCACCAAGGCAAUGAUGCAUAGCCGACCUGAGAGGGUGAUCGGCCACAUUGGAACUGAGACACGGCCCAGACUCCUACGGGAGGCAGCAGUAGGGAAUCUUCCGCAAUGGGCGAAAGCCUGACGGAGCAACGCCGCGUGAGUGAUGAAGGUCUUCGGAUCGUAAAACUCUGUUAUUAGGGAAGAACAUAUGCGUAAGUAACUGUUAGCAUCUUGACGGUACCUAAUCAGAAAGCCACGGCUAACUACGUG